CCUACGGGGGGCAGCAGUGGGGAAUGUUGCGCAAUGAUCGUAAGAGUGACGCAGCGACGCCGCGUGAAUGACGAAGGCCUUCGGGUCGUAAAGUUCUUUCGACAGGGAAGAAAAUGCAUAUAAGUAACUGUGUAUGUAUUGACGGUACCUGUAUAAGCAGCCCCGGCUAACUCCGUGCCAGCAGCCGCGGUAAUACGGAGGGGGCGAGCGUUGUUCGGAGGGACUGGGCGUAAAGAGCACGUAGGCGGUGUUGUAAGUCAUUAGUCAAAGACUAGAGCUCAACUUUAGUAAGGCUAGUGAUACUAUAAUACUAGAGUAUCAGAGAGGAUUGCAGAAUUCCUGGUGUAGCGGUGAAAUGCGUAGAUAUCAGGAGGAAUACCGUUAGCGAAGGCGGCAAUCUGGCUGGAAACUGACGCUGAGGUGCGAAAGCGUGGGUAGCAAACAGGAUUAGAUACCCCUGUAGUC
rnacentral:rRNA from 1 species